CACUCCUACGGGAGGCAGCAGUGGGGAAUCUUGCGCAAUGGGCGAAAGCCUGACGCAGCCAUGCCGCGUGAAUGAUGAAGGUCUUAGGAUUGUAAAAUUCUUUCACCGGGGACGAUAAUGACGGUACCCGGAGAAGAAGCCCCGGCUAACUUCGUGCCAGCAGCCGCGGUAAUACGAAGGGGGCUAGCGUUGCUCGGAAUUACUGGGCGUAAAGGGAGCGUAGGCGGACAUUUAAGUCAGGGGUGAAAUCCCGGGGCUCAACCUCGGAAUUGCCUUUGAUACUGGGUGUCUUGAGUAUGAGAGAGGUGUGUGGAACUCCGAGUGUAGAGGUGAAAUUCGUAGAUAUUCGGAAGAACACCAGUGGCGAAGGCGACACACUGGCUCAUUACUGACGCUGAGGCUCGAAAGCGUGGGGAGCAAACAGGAUUAGAUACCCCGGUAGUCCC
rnacentral:rRNA from 1 species